AGCGUUAUCCGGAAUCAUUGGGCGUAAAGCGUCUGUAGGUUGUUUAAUAAGUCUGUUGUUAAAGACUAGGGCUCAACCCUAGAAAAGCAAUGGAAACUACUAGACUUGAGUAUGGCAGGGGUAGAGGGAAUUUCUAGUGUAGCGGUGAAAUGCGUAGAUAUUAGAAAGAACACCAGCGGCGAAAGCGCUCUACUGGACCAUUACUGACACUCAGAGACGAAAGCUAGGGUAGCAAAAGGGAUUAGAUACCCCUGUAGUCCUAGCCGUAAACGAUGGAUACUAGAUGUUGUGUUUAAUAUGCAGUAUCGUAGCUAACGCGUUAAGUAUCCCGCCUGGGGAGUACGCUCGCAAGGGUGAAACUCAAAGGAAUGGACGGGGGCCCGCACAAGCGGUGGAGCAUGUGGUUUAAUUCGAUGCAACGCGAAGAACCUUACCAGGACUUGACAUACUACAAAUUUCUUUGAAAAAAGGAAGUGCCUUCGGGAAUGUAGAUACAGGUGGUGCAUGGCUGUCGUCAGCUCGUGUCGUGAGAUGUUGGGUUAAGUCCCGCAACGAGCGCAACCCUUAUUUUUAGUUACUAAUUAAUUAGGUUUUCUAGAAAGACUGCCGGUGACAAACCGGAGGAAGGUGAGGAUGACGUCAAGUCAGCAUGCCCCUUAUGUCCUGGGCUACACACGUGCUACAAUGGUUAAAACAAAGGGUCGCGAGCUCGUGAGAGUCAGCUAAUCCCAUAAAUUUAGCCUAAGUUCAGAUUGUAGGCUGCAACU
rnacentral:rRNA from 1 species